rnacentral:lncRNA from 1 species
AGACUCAAACGGCGCAACUACUGUUCAAUCGUCUCUCUCGCCCAAACCAAGCCCCAAUUCAGUCCAGUUUCAGGCGACCAUGCGUCUCCCCCUUCUCUCCUCCUGCCAUUUUGUAAUGGUUUCUGACACCAAAGAUCCCCCCUCCCCUCACUCACCCGAUUUUGAACCAUAUCACGCAAUUGGAAGGUUCUGGAGGACGAUCGUUGGAUGAGUAUGAGGAGUUGGAUUGAUUUCAUUCAAUCCGAGCCCAACAUUCAUCAGGUGCUCAUUUUCAAAAAGGACCAAAUUCGAUUUUGUAAAGGGGGAUGAUUCAGAGGGAAUUUUUGGAGAGAAGAGAGGUCACUUGGAAAUUAGGAUUCUAAUUAAGCUUCUUUUCUCUUUUAUUCAUCUGAAACUAUCUUGGUUUAAUUCCAUUUACAAUAGAAAAAAACAUUUCAUUUUCGUUUUUAAUCUUAGCCCCUUUUGUUCUUUUCAUCUUCAAGUUCAGAAAUUUUCACUUUCAUGAUGAGUUUGGAUUGAACUCGAAGGUUGAGUUUGUUUUCUGGAUUUCAUUUUGAGUUAAUGGAAGUCGACUGAGUGCUGUUUGUUUCGAGCUGCUCCAACGUUGUUCGUUUAGCUGCUGGUUCGUGAGUUCAUUGCAAUCUUUGUUUGGACUCGCUUCCUCUGAGAAUCGUUGUAAUCAUUAAAUAGCAUUAAUCGAAAGUUCAUUUUCAGGUUCAUUUCUAGACUCUCCUAUUUUUUUUUCUAUUUUGUGUGAUCUGAAAUGUCUUGUUUGUUUUAAUAGAUUCCUGGAUACCUAAGAAGUAAAUUAACAUAAAUGAACAAUUUUAGGAUGCUUGGUUAAGCUUUGAGUUGGUUUUCUGAAUUUGAACAUGGUUGUUUGAGUGGUUCUGUUGUUUUUAUGGAAAUGUGAAUACAAAUGGAGACUGACUUGGAGUGUUGUUGACUGAGAAUCGUAUGAAGUUGAUUCAUGGGCUGUGACCUGAAGUUGUAUUAAGAAAUCUUGCAAGUUCAGUUCCUGUAACAUGUUUCUGUCCAGUUUGCUGCACUGCUGAGUAGCUUCAGCUACAAUUUCUGCUAGUUUGAGUUAUAGUUUUGUUGUAUCCAGUUAAUGUUGGAUUUGCUGUUUAUCUUUUGCUUCAAUGAAAGUUUAUGAAAAUAGCAACCAUUAGUUUCUUUGUUGUUGAUUAGCUGUGUUUGAGCUCUAGCUUUAAAGCCAGGAUCAUUGCU